CUCCUUUCCUUCGUACGAGCACGAGAGUGGCGUGCUCUCCUCCUGUCGUUGUCCUCCACCACGGCACCGCACCACCACAUGCUCCCUUCCCCUUUUUAAUCCCCAUCCAAGAACCGCAGCAAACCCUAGCGCCUCCUUUUCAUCCCUCUCGCGCCGCCACCACUCUCUCCUUUCACCCCACCUUUCUUUUCUGUUUCUCUGUAAGCAAAUGAAGAAGCACCACCGCCACCUCCUCUCCAUGGCGCCGCUGCUCCAGGGCUCCCCUCGUCACUCCGAGACCACCCACAGAACCGCCUCGGCGUCCUCUAUAUCCUCCCCAAAGGAAUCGAGCCGGGGUGCUCUUAAUCGUCUCCAAAAUCGCUGUUUCUUCUUCUACUCCGGUGACAAAAUUCUUCAAAUUCCGGCCACCUCGAACCUUCCCCGGCCGUCGCACCACCCGUCGUUGGUCCGCUGCUCCAAGGCGCAUCUCCGACACCAUCCAUCUCGCCUCAGUUCAUCCUCGAACUUCAGAUCCGGGCUCACCUGCAAGUCCCGCCAUGGCCCCAAGCUCCGCUCCUAUCUGCUUCAAGUAGUGCGCGGCCCAUGUUCUUCAACAUCAAAACCAGCAGCCCAGUGAUCCAGCGUUGCAGGCGGGCCUUGGCCCAGGACCUUUAGCGCAGCCCAUCGCCGCUGAGCAGAAGAUAGCUUCCCGACGCCCUCCGCAUUUGCUUCUUCGCGGAUAGGAUCACGAAGUGGUGCGG